GAGAUAGAGGUUGCAUAUUUUAUCAGUACGCUGCCGGAUGAAACGGGUCAGAGGAAAGCAGCGGAAAGGAAAAUAUGCCGAAGAGACAUGUUCCCCCGCAGGACACGGUUUCUGGGCGCAGGCUGAAGAAGUCUGCGACUGUCAUCGAUGGAUGGAGAGCUAUCUG
rnacentral:ncRNA from 1 species